UACGGGGGGGGGCAAGCGUUUGUUCGGAAUUACUGGGCGUAAAGGGCUCGUAGGCGGCCAACUAAGUCAGACGUGAAAUCCCUCGGCUUAACCGGGGAACUGCGUCUGAUACUGGAUGGCUUGAAUCCGGGAGAGGGAUGCGGAAUUCCAGGUGUAGCGGUGAAAUGCGUAGAUAUCUGGAGGAACACCGGUGGCGAAGGCGGCAUCCUGGACCGGCAUUGACGCUGAGGAGCGAAAGCCAGGGGAGCAAACGGG
rnacentral:rRNA from 1 species